GAGCCUGAUGACAUCACCCAGUCAGUCACACACAGUCGGACAGCCGCGCGCUCAGAGGAACUAGUUGUUGGAGUAGAGAGAGCGCGGCAGCACUUCAUUACAUCCAGAGCACCAGCUGGGGGGAAAUAUUCACCUGUGCGCUGCCAGGACGAAUUCACAAGGAUUUUCAUCAUUUUUUAGCAGACUCCGUCUUAAAGGCGCAGCGAGGGACAUUUGAAACAAGAAUCUCUGUCGGACUCCUGCUCUGUCCUGUAGCCAAACAAGUUUAUUUUUUGCCUUGAGUGAGUGAUCUUUUACACAGGAAUUGACCCGCAUCUGAAGGUUUCGAUUAUACAUUUAUACCGGAGAGACUGCGUGCCUAGUUUCAUAGAGGAGACAGUAAUCGACCAUGGCGAGACAUGAUGCCCAAAACUGGCAUGUCUGCUCAAAAAUGAUCGGACUGCUCUGCUUGGCCGCGUCGAUACUUCUUCAACACGGAGUGUCAGGUCAGCGCGUGAAGGUGGAGCCAGAGGUGUUGUCGUAUCCCGGACAGACAGUUAACCUGCGCUGUGCCUUCACUGACGCCACUGGGAUACAGCUCACAAUGGUCACGUGGAUCUAUGAGCCGAAGGACGGAGACAGGAUCAACAUCGCUGUGUUUCACCCCAACUUUGAUCCCAACUACCCCGACUCACCGGUGAAGGGCCGAGUCAGCUUCACGCCCAGUCCUCCAAACCUGGCCAGUCCCUCCAUUGAGAUAAGCAAUGUAAGGAUGACCGAUGAGGGGAAGUACAUCUGCGAGUAUGCUACCUACCCCAGAGGCAACGAGCAAGGCAUCACGUACCUCGUCAUGCUGGCUAAGCCUCAGAACUCGGCCUCCAUCGUAACCGUGGAAGCAGGCACUAAGCCGGUCGUUGUGGCACGCUGCGAAUCUGUGGAUGGCCGCCCCGCUGCCCAGAUUUCCUGGGUGACCACAGCCAAUGGCAAUGCGACAACAGUGUCUAAGCCGGGUGCCAAUAACACCGUGACCAUGAUCAGCGAGUACCGCAUGGUUCCCACAGCAGCAGACAACGGGAAAGACCUUAGCUGCGUAGUGGCACACAGGACCCAGGUCAAACCAGAGAGCUUCCCAUUGAAGCUAGCAGUACAAUACGCCCCUGAGGUAACAGUAGUGGGUUAUGACAAUAAUUGGUACGUGGGUCGUACACAUGUGGUGCUCACCUGCCUGGCUAGCGGAAACCCCGCUCCAUUGACCGCCCAGUGGAAGACGAUGUCAGGAGAGAUGCCAGACACGGUGCAGAUCACAGAUAACGUGCUCAAGGUGCUGAAGGUGGACGACACUGUCAACACCACUUUUGUCUGUGAGGUCAAAAACCGCAUCGGGACCGGCAAGGACCAGGUCACAGUUUUUGUCAGAGAGCCCUCAGUGAACCCAUCCAAUGCUGGCAUGGUGGCGGGAGCUGUGAUUGGCUCCCUGCUGGCCCUCCUUUUGGUUGCCGCUCUCAUCGCUGUGCUUGUCACCCGUAGCCGCAGACAACGGCAGGGUUACCGUGGCAAUGGCGGCAGUGACAUGAAGACGCGCAUAUUUGGCGGUGGCAAGAAGGCCAGCAAGAACGGCACGGGUGUAGGCGCAGGCAGCGGCGGCGGUAACAACAACGGCCCCGUCUACGUUUACAACGACAGCUCAUCCCACCAGGGCCUUGGAGAGAAAAACAACCACCACCAGCCGCUCACCAUGGGGGGCCGGCCUGAAGUUGUUGCCACUACACCCACCGCCCAAGACAUCCUGCUAAGCAAUGAGUUGGACGACGCGGAGAGGAGGAAGUUUGAUGAGCUGGAGAAGGAGGAGAGGUAUGACCACUUCAGUGGAGGAGCCCCCAUCCUUCAGCUUCGCCCACCGCAUGACCAGGACGAUAUGAUUGGCGAUUACCUGGAUGAUGACAUGGAGUCCCAGCGGGAUGGCUCCGUCAUCUCACGGACUGCUGUUUACGUGUAGAGAAGUAGAAGGGGAAAGGAGGAGGAGGAGGAGGAGGAGAAAAAAGAGGGAUGGAGGAUUCCUCCCAAGGAUUUUGUGGCUACAGGGUCUCGUCCCUGUCUGAUAGUGAAGAGAAAAUGAUACCACUUUUAUUUUUGAAAAUUGAUUCUAAACAUAGCCUAUUAUUAAUCACAGCAGCCCCAGAAUGGACUGAAUGAACAGGACGGUGCAGAGGGAUAUUCUGAAAGAAGUGUUGCUGUCCAUAAAAACUGAAAAUCAAACCGAGAAAAAGAAACAACCUGUCUCCCACUGCUUCUACUCAUGCUAUCGCUAUCACUGGGACCUUGACAAGGACUCUUGACAGACACACUUAAAGAGAGAAACUAUGUAGCGUGUGUGGGAGAAGGAUGAUGGUAUCAUGAUACAAGCUUGGCUAUAGAGGAGGCAACUUACUUGCAUAUUCACUCUUUUCUUCACCAAAACAGAAACAAGUGGAAGUAGUUGUCAAGCAGUUAUGUGUUGCCUGCUUUUUCCAGUCCUCCUGUGGGAAACCUUUUGUUUAGGUAAUGUGUUGUGCUGUGACAGCAAGUGGGUAGUUAGUAGCUAGUGAUGGGUUGGGAAGAAGGUUUUGAAGGUAUAGACAGUAGCCAUCAGGUGAUUUAGAGAAGAGAACAAAGUAUUUGCUCAUGUCUACUGGCAAGCUUUCAUCUCCGCUCUCUCUGCCUUUCUCUCAAACUUCUCUGCAAACUGUCAGCGACAGUAGAUACGCUUGAAUUUACAAAAUGUAAAAAGAACAUUAGGUCCUUGUGCUGCACUAAUACAAGACCAGCUGAAUUUAACAAAGUAAGUUUGCAGAGAGUUUGAGCUAACAAGGUAUUCACAUGCAAACUUUUGUACUGUGCCUGGAGGUAAGAGACGGUAAACAAGAGAUGAGGGAAUGAGGUGUAGUCGAUCUGACAGGGUCAAGGGAUGGAGAGAGGGAUGCAGGAGGACGAGAGAGGAGCAUGUCGCUUCUUUUCUUCUUCCUCCUCAUCCCCGUUUCUUCAUAGCACUCCUGACAGGAGGAUCUUCAUUGGUAAUGAGCCGUGAAGUCACUCGCUUAGCCGGGACCAACAGAUUGCCACCACUUAUCGUUUAUGACGUGGCAAUUCCUCCCCCUCCCACCUCUAUCUCUCUAUCAUGCUUCUGCCCCCCCCCCCCUCUCUCUUCAUCCCUCUCCGCAUCCCUCUCUCCCAGUGUUUAUGGGGAGUUUAUGAUUUAUCUGGUAAUGUCGAGGUCAGGGCCACAGAGAGCAGAGGAGUAUUUUACUGCUCCUGAUGUGUCAAACGCCCCACUUACUCUAUUCCAGCCCGGCCUGGCCUGACAUGCCAGGACUGACUAAUCCACCUGGAGUGGCCAUGUUCACUCCACUGCAUGGAUGCUACUUCCUUCUCCCGCACUUUAGUAAGUGGCCGGAUGUAACAGAACCCCACCCCAAAGUAUGACCGUGUUAUGUUAGAUAGAUUUUCAAUGAGAUCAUGUAAUACUUCUUUCCAUUAGUGGAUGUUGUUUAAUGUAGUGAAUUGAUCGGGAGACAUAAAAGGUUGCGUCCACAGCCAAGCUAUGGGAGUCAUAUUGACUAACAGGCAACAGGCAGUGAAAUGGCCCUUUAUGAUGCAGCUUCAGGGCUGAUUGUCUCCUGACUGUUAAUUUAUCCUUUUAACGAGCCACCGGAACCCGCUCAGGCAAAUAUUACUAUGUGGCUACUGCACGUUGCUGUUUUCAAGCCUCAGCGUGUACAUUUGCAUGCAUCACUGUAUCUAUGUAGCCACUGGAUGACUGUGAUGGACAAUCUUGGAGAGAAGCCCUACUGUAGCUCCUCUAAUCCUGGCCUUCUAAUCAACUCCCCCUUUGACCCCCUGGGGGAUGACUGUACUGCCCUCUUGUAAGGUCCAGCAAAGAUCUGGGUUGCAGUUCGCUGCAGGUCAUGCGAUCAAAUGCAGGGUGACCCAUUGACAAGAGCAAGGAUGACUGCGCUUGCCGGCAUUUCCUAUCAUAGUUGUUUUUAACCUUAAGCUAUAGAGGUGAGAAACACUCACAUACUGUACAAGUAUCUGUAUAGGGUGAACCAGUCGUAGUUUGCCAUUGUGAUGGCUGUUAACCUUCAGAGAGGCAGAAAGAAAGACACGGGAGGCAGAUGACAAAAAACAGAGACAGCAUUCAGUGUUUGAGCACAGUCUAGCAUAUUGUAAGCCAGUGUGUUCAAUAGGAUUAUCGUCUAAUGGCCUUAGCUUAUAGAUAAAUGCAACUCCUGUCAACCUGGAGUACAGUAAAUUUACUGAACAUAGCUGAUUUGCCACAACCACUCAAAAUAAAAAAUGUAUUACUUAUUUUUGCACUUGUGUGUGUCACCACUGCAAAGACAAAUAUAAAUGUAAUACUUGGUUUUCGGGGACAAAAUAGUGAUAAGGGACAAAACUUUUAUGUACAUUUUGGUGUGAGGUAUCUGUGUACUAUAUAUGUAAGCAUUUUUAUUUUUCAUGUGAAAAUGUGGAUAUCUAUGACAAUGUAAAUAUCAGAUCGAUGGAGCCAGUGUUGUGGAAGUAAGGAAAGCGUUCUGGGUCGGCUAAGCCUAAAGUUCAAAUGUCUCAGAGGGGAAUUCAGAAUGUAAUUUUUAAUCUAAUGAAUACCUCUGUGGAUUGGGUGUUAAAACACACAGAACUGACUGAGUUUGCCUAAAGCCUAAGAGCCGAUUUUUAUUGGGGGGGGGGGGAAAUGAUAUAUGCUGAUAUAAUUUUUUUUUUUUUUAAGUUAGCAUUGCCUGCAUUUCGACAUAAUAAGCACACAAUAUUGGUUUCUCCUUGACAGAUACCCUGCACAACAACAAUACCCACAAUAAUUUAUCAGGUAGACCGUGACCACACAGGCAAAGGGUGUGUGUGUGUGUGUGUGUGUCUCUCACUGCCAUUGGGGCUGUAACCCGAGUAGCCACCCUUUGUCACCAUGGAACACUGGCAAACUGAUAUUAUUGUGCAUUUCAAAGACACACUCACUCGGACACACAUACUGUACAUAUACGCAGAAUGCAGAGAAACAUUCGCCCACACACAAACACCCCUCAGUCACUCUCAUUAUGUUCACUCCCACAGCCCAACUGGGUAGAAGACACCUCAUACCUGACAACUCUGCCAUCUCCUGACAUAAGCCCACACAAAUGCGCUCACAUAGCUAUACGCACAUACAAACAAACAAACACACACACACACACACACACACACACACAAAAAACACUAUUUUCUCCUCUUCUUGCUCAGUGGCUCUGUCAGGACAUAUACUGUGUCCUGUUACUGUGGAAAGACCUGCAGCAUGAUGUGCCCCCUGCUCCACUGCUUUCUAUUCCUCAAAUUGUCCAACCUAAUCCAGAAUCAACGACCAUGUAGAACUGAGACAACUACACGUUCAUGGACACACACCUUUCACCCAGUGUCAGAAAAACGGGCUUUUUAGGAAACUGUUUGAGAGUUCCACUUAUGUUCUACACAGGGAAUACAGCUUUCAUAAAAACACCAUUGCGCUGACCUGCCCCCCCCCCCCCAUCUGUUUUGAUAGCUCAACUUCCCACUCAUCUGCUAAAUGUUGUUUUCAACUUUUCUCACUUCAGCCACCGCGACACCACCUCCACACACACACACACACACACACACACACACACACACACACACACACACACACACACACACACACACACACACCCCGUUGCCACCCACCUCAGCAAGUAAGGCUUGUCAGACAAAAUGCUUUUAGAGAAAUCCACGAUCCUGGCCCGGGUCUAGCACAAGGUUAGUUAGUAAAAAUACCCAGUAUUUUUCUUUUUCUUUACUGUUGCUAUUCCUUCGGCUCCAAACAUCUGAUGAUUAAUGAAAGCCUUAACAUCUCCCAUCUCACUUGCAUAAAAGGAAAAAAAUAAGAAGAGAAAACCUCCCUGUGUACAUAGUAUAAAUAUGUAGCAGAGAAAAAGAUAUUACUAAUUUAUGGUGUCACAUUUGUGUAUUUCUCAGUGACAGCAAGCAUGAAGGAUUUAUUUUCGCCUAUUACAGUUUCCUCUCUUUUCUGUUAUUUUGCAGUGCUUUAUAAUUUAUCUUUUCUGAGUGCUUUAUUUUUGACUGCUGCGCGUGAUUGCUGCCAAAACUGGCAAAUGUGCUUCUUCUAUACAAAUGAACUGUACACACAACAAAACAGUCUUACCCCAAAAUGUGCUUUUUGUUAUUGACUGCUCUGUGUAAACGUUGUUUUCUUUUUGUAUUUUUUUUUUAUUUCAAAUAUAUUAUGGUCUUUUGAAGAAAAAAAAAAAGAGAAAACGACUAGAAUUGUUGUCACCAUUCUGUCAUGUCUUUCAAUAUUUUUUCGUAUUUGGUUGCUAUUAAAGAUUUCUUGAUUUUUGAAAUGGUC